rfam:Cochliobolus heterostrophus C5 unplaced genomic scaffold COCHEscaffold_1, whole genome shotgun sequence.
ACAUACGACCAUCGGCAAAGUAAUUCACUGGCUCUCGUUUGCUCGCCGCACGUUAAGCCUUUGACCGGCGGACUAGUAGUCAGGUGGGUGACCACUGGCGAAUCCCCGCUGUUGUAUGUU